AGUCGUGUUGCUUGAUAGUGCAGCCCUAAGUGGGUGGUAAACUCCAUCCAAGGCUAAAUAUUACCGCGAGACCGAUAGCGAACGAGUACCGUGAGGGAAAGUUGAAAAGAGCUUUGAAGAGAGAGUUCAAGAGUACGUGAAACCGUUCAGGGGUAAACCUGCGAAACUCGAAUGAACGAACGGAGAGAUUCAUCGUCACUCCGCGGCGUACGGACGUGCGAUUCGAUGUGACCGGCGCAAGUCGGGCUGCACGACGCAUGUACGUCGCGUCCGUGGACGGCGUGCACUUCUCUCUUAGUAAUACAUCGCGACCCGUUCGUAGUCGGUCUAAGCGCCGUGCGGGGGAGUCCAUUCGUCGCCUCGUGUGACGGUUGGACCGCUGCGGUCGCCGACCGGCUAACGCGGACGGUAUGACAAUCGAACCGCGCACGCGUUAACGCGCGUCCGGCCCGACGCAAGGCAACGUCGUUGCCGAUGUCCUGCCAUUGUGCGGACGUCGGUGCGGCGCGCCUGUCGUCGCUGCCGUGCAGUCUCGGACUGUGCGCGUC
rnacentral:rRNA from 1 species